rnacentral:rRNA from 1 species
AGUGGCGAACGGGUGAGUAACGCGUGAGGAACCUGCCUCAAAGAGGGGGACAACAGUUGGAAACGACUGCUAAUACCGCAUAAGCCCACGGUGCCGCAUGGUACAGAGGGAAAAGGAGCAAUCCGCUUUGAGAUGGCCUCGCGUCCGAUUAGCUAGUUGGUGAGGUAAUGGCCCACCAAGGCAACGAUCGGUAGCCGGACUGAGAGGUUGAACGGCCACAUUGGGACUGAGACACGGCCCAGACUCCUACGGGAGGCAGCAGUGGGGAAUAUUGCACAAUGGGGGAAACCCUGAUGCAGCGACGCCGCGUGGAGGAAGAAGGUCUUCGGAUUGUAAGCUCCUGUUGUUGGGGAAGAUAAUGACGGUACCCAACAAGGAAGUGACGGCUAACUACGUGCCAGCAGCCGCGGUAAAACGUAGGUCACAAGCGUUGUCCGGAAUUACUGGGUGUAAAGGGAGCGCAGGCGGGAAGACAAGUUGGAAGUGAAAUCUAUGGGCUCAACCCAUAAACUGCUUUCAAAACUGUUUUUCUUGAGUAGUGCAGAGGUAGGCGGAAUUCCCGGUGUAGCGGUGGAAUGCGUAGAUAUCGGGAGGAACACCAGUGGCGAAGGCGGCCUACUGGGCACCAACUGACGCUGAGGCUCGAAAGUGUGGGUAGCAAACAGGAUUAGAUACCCUGGUAGUCCACACCGUAAACGAUGAUUACUAGGUGUUGGAGGAUUGACCCCUUCAGUG